GUGGGGAAUAUUGGACAAUGGGCGCAAGCCUGAUCCAGCAAUGCCGCGUGGGUGAAGAAGGCCUUCGGGUUGUAAAGCCCUUUUGUACGGAAAGAAAUCCUGGUGGUUAAUACCCGCCGGGGAUGACGGUACCGUAAGAAUAAGCACCGGCUAACUUCGUGCCAGCAGCCGCGGUAAUACGAAGGGCGCAAGCGUUAAUCGGAAUUACUGGGCGUAAAGCGUGCGUAGGUGGUUUCUUAAGUCUGUCGUGAAAGCCCUGGGCUCAACCUGGGAAUGGCGAUGGAGACUGGGAGGCUAGAGUGCGGUAGAGGAUGGCGGAAUUCCCGGUGUAGCGGUGAAAUGCGUAGAGAUCGGGAGGAACAUCUGUGGCGAAGGCGGCCAUCUGGACCAGCACUGACACUGAGGCACGAAAGCGUGGGGAGCAAACAGGAUUAGAUACCCUAGUAGUCC
rnacentral:rRNA from 1 species